UACGGAGGGUGCAAGCGUUAUCCGGAUUCACUGGGUUUAAAGGGUGCGUAGGUGGGCAGUUAAGUCAGUGGUGAAAUCUCCGGGCUCAACCCGGAAACUGCCAUUGAUACUAUCUGUCUUGAAUAUCGUGGAGGUAAGCGGAAUAUGUCAUGUAGCGGUGAAAUGCUUAGAUAUGACAUAGAACACCAAUUGCGAAGGCAGCUUACUACCCGAAUAUUGACACUGAGGCACGAAGCGUGGGGAUCAAACAGG
rnacentral:rRNA from 1 species